GUCACGUUGACCGAUUGCAUGGUGGGGUUGUGUUAGAGGGAGGUUUCCAUGCUGUGGAGCGGACUGACUGGGCUGGACGAGGAGCAGUUCUGGUUAAAGUUGUCCUAUAGGGAUUCAUACACUCCUUUACCAAGUGGCAAGUUACCAUCGUGUGCAUAUCACCACUUGGCCAAGAGUCAAUGAUCUGAAUUGUCCUAACAUGCUGUGAAGAUCUUCAUACUUCCGCACCUGAAGUCGAGGGAAGCAGGAGAGAAGUGAACAUCUUGUUAGGCAAUGCAAGACAACAGAGACCAUCCAGUUUGCAUGCAAACUGUGCAUUCUUUACUUCUCCUGCUGACAGCUGAGUCAAUGUCUCAGGGUGGCACUGGUGAGGAAUCAACCAUAACCAGGAUUUCAAAAAGGAAAUUCAUCUGUGGGCAUGGUUUCUGUUUAUUGUUUGGUUUCAAGGAAGCUGGCAGUACCAUCAGACUUGAUUGACAACCAAGCCAUGGCCCCAAUGUGGCAAGCUGACCUCUUGGGAAAAAACAUGGUGCUGUGUGGAUGAAAACGUAAGACAGGACAUGGUUUGCAGCCACCGGCACAUGUAGCAAAAAGCCUGUUUGGGAGAAUGCAAAAUGUGGAUGGUGGAAGCAGAGAUGAGUGGGGAGGGCUUGCUUUCAUGCUGAAAGAAAGACAAGGCAAGAAACGCUCCCUCCCUCCAACCCCCAGAAACUACAGUGACUUCAGAAAAAGCAAAAACAGCACAAACAGACAGUGAACGAUGCCUCUCAUCACAGCCUCGGGAUAGAGAAGAGAAGAAAGACCCCAUGCAUUGUUGCAACAGUACGGACCCUGACGGCGAUGUUCCUAAGAGAUUGGAUCCUUCAAAGGAAUUUGAAACUAUGUGAACCUGUCAGAUCCAUACUUGGAUUCUGGUUGAGGAUCUUACUAUCAUGCUGGAUUUUCUGACCAACUUUCUGAGUACGUUAUUCUGAGUAUGUGGUCGUUCUGGAUUUUAGAUCUACAUUCUUCCUUAAGUGACCCAAAAGUUUGGCAAGACCUACUACAAGUACCCUUUCCAGAAGGAAACAAUCCUAUAAAAUGGACACUGACGAAUAGCAAGUAUGUUAAAUGCUUCUCUGUAUGACUCCUUGAUGGACAUUAUGGAAAAUAAUGAAGGAUAAACUAAAAUAGCUAAAGGUUAGUUGGUAGGUUCCUUUCUUACUCCCCUACUUUACUUUGGUGGUAAGGGUUUCUGGAAAGGCAGAUUGUAUUUGGUAGCUGCAUGUGUUGCUACAGUCCCCAUGAGUAAGCAGAAAGCAGCAGUGAUGGGAUGGGGGUGGGUGAAGAGAGAAUAAGGGAAGGAAAUUGGAAGCAGGGGAGCAUUUUUUUUGCUGGUUUAUUGUUUGUUUUGUAUCUUUCUUUCUUUUUUUAACACCACAGGCAAUUCCCGGCUGACAUCGAGAUGGCUCCAUCCAUGGUAUCUUGCCAGCUGCAAAGGGAAAGAAUAGGGGAGGGACAGUUGGAUGGGGAAAGUGCAAGGGACAGGGGCUAAGAGAGGGAAUUCAUUUCAGGCUCCAGUGAGAAAAAGGUUUUCAAUAAGCUAGUAAAUGUGGGCCAGAAGCCAGAAAUGUGUCUGUGCCCAAAUGCAAACUAAAGGUACAUAUUUGCUCUUUCUUUGGUUUUUAGUGUGUCUCUGUUUUGUAUACAGCAAGAACAUUUGAUCCUCCAGGUAUUUUGGUCUACAGCUCAUACACUUCAGAAAAUAUGCAGGAGUGGCUGUGUUGGGGGUGGGUUGUUAGGCAAUGGAUUCUGUGUUUUAACAUGUAAGCCGCCCAGGUUGUGUUGCACAGAAAGGCGGGCUAUAAAUAAAUAAUUAUUAUUAUUGCUAUUAUUGGCCAUUUAGAAAAUUAAACGAAGUAGCCAGUGGAGCUUUGAAAGCUUGCAACAAGUAUACUGUGCAUUUCAGUUGGCCAAUAAAGGUAUCACUGUUUGGUGGAUUUUUGUUUGAACUCAUACACUUGUAAGCCAAUAAACUCAAGGGCCAAUACCCAGGAACCAGCCUAGCGUAAUGGUUUGGAUGUUCAACUAGGAGUUUGGAGACCAGGAUCCGAAUCCCUACUUGGUCAG